GGCUCUACAGCUGCUGCUGCUGCUCCACCCAGCUACCGGUUCCCACUUGGAUCUUCCGCCUACGUCAGCUUCAUCGAACGGGGGGAGGAAGCCCAACCUCUUCAGUCGACCUUCUCGUGGCAUCUCCCUGAGGUGACCGCAACGUCAUUCAUCCAACACCGGACCGGUUUCCGCAGUAGGUCGCCAGGUUCAGAGGGGUCGACUGGAUGCCGUUGGAUGUGACCUGCACACAAAGACCACAAUGCCCCCACAACGCCUCCGAGUCAGCAUCUGCUUUUACUACGAAACACAACAUCUACCUGGCCCCAGGAAGCACCCAGCUGGCCUGGUCAAUAAAAACGCAAUACCCUGUGGAGAGUUUCACCUCAAGACUUCGAGAACGGCUGUAGUUACAGAUUACCCAAAGACUGGGCCCUACAAGAGACCCCUGGGAAAGAUGUGCAGUAGGUCCAAAGGGAGGGAGGGGAAUGCCAGAAUUCACUGGAUUAAGUGAGCCUGAGGGCCAUGGGGGAGGAGGGACAUAGGGGAAUGGUAAAAAAAAAAAACAUGAAAGAAAAUGAAGGUCAGAAAGAGGAAGAGCUUGGGCCAGUUGGUCAACCCUAAAUCUUUCCCAAAUACUCAGCACAAGGCUCCGCACCCACCUCGCAAUAAGCCCAAGUAGGGGGUUGAGUGACAAUUUAUCUGCUGACUGAUUUAAACACUCCUGGGCUCACUGGGCCUGCAGAUCCUAAGUCGUUAAAGGGGAUUCACUGUCUAGUAGAGACAGUCAUCGUUUUCAGGAAAUGGGCUUGAUGAUUUGUUAUGAAAAAAAAAAUGAAUUGCCAACACCAGGUCCAGUUGUUCCUGAUAAAUAAGUUCUGUGGAGGUUCAUAAGAACAUACCUCAGCAGAGUCAGCAAACCCUAUAGCAAAGUGUUUUGCACAGCCCAGGUGCUUAAUAACUACUACUAACUGUCAGAGCGGAGGAGAUGCGGCGGUGCCGUGACGUUGAUCACACUAGUCUGACGACUCGGAAAAGGGUCAUAUCUCCUCCUACAAUUAACCCACGUUGGUGAAGUUCCCCUAAAAGGAAACGGAGUCACCUGGUACUUGAGCACAUCCACAUUAUAAUAGGAAGCUGAUGGAUUCUGCUCAGAAAGCUUCUUGAGGUAGACCGUGACAGCCGCCAUGUUCAUCCAAAAAUCUCUUGUGCUGGAGUCACACUGGGCUGGAUCACUGCAGAGAGCGAUGCAGAGAGAUGGAAAUCAGAACAGAGCUCGAGGUAGAUUCCACCCCUCUUCCCCUCAGUGGCAGCAGACCCGGUUUAGCUUUCUCUCUGCAACUACUGAUCCAUGGCGCUACUUCCUAGCUGCCCUUCCUUCCAGGCCUAUCUAAAGUAAAGGCCAAGUCAGAAUUCAUCCGAUUCCCAAGAUGGGAUCCACGGCCUUAGGACUAACUUUUUAAGAAGUGUGUAUUUGAGUUCCCACAUUGCUUGCAAGCUUAAAGUGACGUAACCAAUGAAGGUAAGAAAAAAAAAAUCCUCACGCUGGGUCUCAA